ACCAACUCUCUUCAUCCUUCCGCC
rnacentral:siRNA from 1 species